GAUGAACGCUGGCGGCGUGCCUAAUACAUGCAAGUCGAGCGAACGGACGAGAAGCUUGCUUCUCUGAUGUUAGCGGCGGACGGGUGAGUAACACGUGGAUAACCUACCUAUAAGACUGGGAUAACUUCGGGAAACCGGAGCUAAUACCGGAUAAUAUUUUGAACCGCAUGGUUCAAAAGUGAAAGACGGUCUUGCUGUCACUUAUAGAUGGAUCCGCGCUGCAUUAGCUAGUUGGUAAGGUAACGGCUUACCAAGGCAACGAUGCAUAGCCGACCUGAGAGGGUGAUCGGCCACACUGGAACUGAGACACGGUCCAGACUCCUACGGGAGGCAGCAGUAGGGAAUCUUCCGCAAUGGGCGAAAGCCUGACGGAGCAACGCCGCGUGAGUGAUGAAGGUCUUCGGAUCGUAAAACUCUGUUAUUAGGGAAGAACAUAUGUGUAAGUAACUGUGCACAUCUUGACGGUACCUAAUCAGAAAGCCACGGCUAACUACGUGCCAGCAGCCGCGGUAAUACGUAGGUGGCAAGCGUUAUCCGGAAUUAUUGGGCGUAAAGCGCGCGUAGGCGGUUUUUUAAGUCUGAUGUGAAAGCCCACGGCUCAACCGUGGAGGGUCAUUGGAAACUGGAAAACUUGAGUGCAGAAGAGGAAAGUGGGAUUCCAUGUGUAGCGGUGAAAUGCGCAGAGAUAUGGAGGGACACCAGUGGCGAAGGCGACUUUCUGGUCUGUAACUGACGCUGAUGUGCGAAAGCGUGGGGAUCAAACAGGAUUAGAUACCCUGGUAGUCCACGCCGUAAACGAUGAGUGCUAAGUGUUAGGGGGUUUCCGCCCCUUAGUGCUGCAGCUAACGCAUUAAGCACUCCGCCUGGGGAGUACGACCGCAAGGUUGAAACUCAAAGGAAUUGACGGGGACCCGCACAAGCGGUGGAGCAUGUGGUUUAAUUCGAAGCAACGCGAAGAACCUUACCAAAUCUUGACAUCCUUUGACAACUCUAGAGAUAGAGCCUUCCCCUUCGGGGGACAAAGUGACAGGUGGUGCAUGGUUGUCGUCAGCUCGUGUCGUGAGAUGUUGGGUUAAGUCCCGCAACGAGCGCAACCCUUAAGCUUAGUUGCCAUCAUUAAGUUGGGCACUCUAAGUUGACUGCCGGUGACAAACCGGAGGAAGGUGGGGAUGACGUCAAAUCAUCAUGCCCCUUAUGAUUUGGGCUACACACGUGCUACAAUGGACAAUACAAAGGGCAGCGAAACCGCGAGGUCAAGCAAAUCCCAUAAAGUUGUUCUCAGUUCGGAUUGUAGUCUGCAACUCGACUACAUGAAGCUGGAAUCGCUAGUAAUCGUAGAUCAGCAUGCUACGGUGAAUACGUUCCCGGGUCU
rnacentral:rRNA from 1 species